rnacentral:rRNA from 1 species
UUAUGAGAGUUUGAUCCUGGCUCAGGACGAACGCUGGCGGCGUGCCUAAUACAUGCAAGUCGAACGCUUUUUCUUUCACCGGAGCUUGCUCCACCGAAAGAAAAAGAGUGGCGAACGGGUGAGUAACACGUGGGUAACCUGCCCAUCAGAAGGGGAUAACACUUGGAAACAGGUGCUAAUACCGUAUAACACUAUUUUCCGCAUGGAAGAAAGUUGAAAGGCGCUUUUGCGUCACUGAUGGAUGGACCCGCGGUGCAUUAGCUAGUUGGUGAGGUAACGGCUCACCAAGGC